UACGGGGGGGGCAAGCGUUGUUCGGAAUUACUGGGCGUAAAGGGCUCGUAGGCGGCCAACUAAGUCGGACGUGAAAUCCCUCGGCUUAACCGGGGAACUGCGUCCGAUACUGGAUGGCUUGAGUUUGGGAGAGGGAAGUGGAAUUUCAGGUGUAGCGGUGAAAUGCGUAGAUAUCUGAAGGAACAUCAGUGGCGAAAGCGACUUCCUGGACCAAUACUGACGCUCAUGUGCGAAAGCGUGGGGAGCAAACAGG
rnacentral:rRNA from 1 species